rnacentral:rRNA from 1 species
AGGCAGCAGUGGGGAAUUUUGGACAAUGGGCGCAAGCCUGAUCCAGCUAUUCCGCGUGUGGGAUGAAGGCCCUCGGGUUGUAAACCACUUUUGUAGAGAACGAAAAGACACCUUCGAAUAAAGGGUGUUGCUGACGGUACUCUAAGAAUAAGCACCGGCUAACUACGUGCC